AUCAUUCAACUAUUUCUUUCUUCCUUCUGUUGUUCUUCUCAUUAUUAUAAAUUCCUUACUCUUUUGGUUCUUUUGUGAAACUUGUACCUGAGAGGUAGGCAGUUUCCUCUCCGACUGGCCAAAUUGGUCUUCUUUGGUUUCAAAAUAAUGGUUCCAUCAAAUUCGAUUUUCAGAUUUUAAAAAAAAUUUCCUGCUUUACUUUCUAUAAAGGUCUUAUCUAAUGGUGUGUCAUUUGACAUUCAAUGGUGCUCUAUAAUUCCAAGUCGGAUAUGAGACAGGCCACAAGAAGCAUUCCUCAAUUGUGCUUAUUGUUGAAAAUAUAGUAGGUUAUUUGGAUGCUGACAUCUAGAUUGGUGUAUGGCGCAUAGCUGCAUUUUGUUAUCAAUCCCUUAAUGCUUGUCUAUGUCGAUUCUCUCUUCCUGCAAGUUCCUAUUGAUUUCUUAUUUCUAAUCUAAGUACAAUCUCACUUCCUGCAAGUUUCCAGUUCAGUUUCACGAGGCACACAAUUUGCACUGAUACGUUUUGCACUGCAACAGGUCGACAAAAGCACCAUUCAAUCCAGUACACAACUUCUAUAGCUGAGUUGCUUGAGCAGGCAAUUUCUAGUUUUUCCCACAAAAUUCAGAAACUCGGAGAAAGAACUCCCGUGGAUGAUUUGCAUGAUGAAGUAUCUGACAUAAUUUGUGACCUCCAGAAUGCAGCAGUCGACUCAAAUCAAAGCCUUAGAAGAGUUGCAGUUGGGCCAAAUGACCACUUCUUCCUGCCAAGUUCAGCUGGCUAUGUAAACCGCAGAGACUCUGGGUCUGUACCUGAGGAGCGGAAAGAAAGAUCACCAAAUCGGUCAUGCCCUUGUAUAAAUGCGCAUAGUGUUCUUGGCCAAGUAUUAUUUGACGUGUGUGUACCGAAGAACGUGGAAGGUUGGGAUAUUAAAUUUGCCGGUACCUUGAAUGCAAAGCCACUUGCUUCUGUUCGCAAACGGUUACCAUUUAAUGCCACUAAACAUAGAUCAAGAUUAUAAGAUCUUUCUAGCUAACAACUUUUCGACUUUACAGAGUACCGCCACAUAUAACUAUGUUGGACAUAGGACUGCUGCAGUCGUGAUAUUGGAUGGAAGAUAAUGGCAGGAAUUGACUUUACAAAGAGGAUUUCAUACAUUUGAGAAGCUGAAACCUGAUAUUAUAUGGAAAUCUAUGGCAUUGUGUUGGAACACAUGAAGUAUCUGCUGAUACGAAGCACGAAGAUAGUUGAAGGUGAUGAUGUGUAGUUCAAGGUAUAACCACUUUCCAAGAGUUGAUCUAAUUUCUUGUAGUACUCGGUUAUAAUUAUAGUAGAUGUGUGUAUAAUGUAGUUCAAUAGUAGAAAAUAAGCUCAAUGUGAGUACUUUCAAGUUGUAAGUAUAAUAAUGGAAAUAUAUCAAGGUUUUUCUAAUGUUCAUGCAUGAACACAAGUUCCUAUGUUUUGUUAAUGUUGUUUUCUUCCACAUUCAUUAAGCAGCCAGAUAAGUCCCGAACCAUGAUCAUGUAGCUUUUGAAAUUUCAAUUGCUGAAUAUAUGGUUUUGAAACCCAUUUCUUAGAUUCAGUUGAUAUAUGAUGGAGUUAUUUUUUGGUUUUGAAACAUAUGAUUGGCAGAUGGAAUAUGAUGAUUAAGAAACAGGUUUUUGGCGUCAAAAUUCACACCAAUAUAGUCAUGAUUCAGAGGACAUUACUGUAUUUGAAAAAUUAGACCAUCGGUUCUAAUUCACCAGUUAUAUUUUUAUUCAAAAAUAUUUUAAUGCAAAAGACUCGGUCUUUCAAACCAGACAACAAAAUUCAGUUUGUAUAUAGUUUUCUGGAUGGGAAAAAAUGACUCAUCUUGAAUUAAAUGGCAAUAUAAACUAUAGAAAAUGAAUUAUUACACCAUCGAUAAUAUAGCUCUUACAAACUGAGUUUGUAUAUAGUUUUCUGGAUGUCUGCUGAUGAUAAAAAAAAAUGCAUAAAAAGAUUACUAUACACUCCUUAAUAGCCUGGGAAAAUUGGUGGUGGUGGGGAUGCAUAUUGGAAGCCUAAGUUCAGGGGAAGUACGAAGUCCGGCAAGGGUGGUGGUGAUUUGCACUGUAGGUAGGGGAGAGUAGACAGGUGGGGGUGGUGAUUACUGAGGUGAAGGAGGUUAGAGUUUAGGUGGUGGUGGUGGGGGAGAGUGAGCUGUCGGUGGCGGGGCCUGCACCGGAGGUGGAGGAGGUGAGAGUUUGGGUGUUGGUGGUCAUGGUGAGAGUUUAGGUGGUGGUGAUGAGUUAAUAGGUGGUGGUGGGACUUCACUGGAGAUGGAGGGGGUGAGAGUUUAGGUGCUGGUGGUGGGAAAGAUUUGACAGAUGGUGGUGGGGACUGCGCCGGAGGUAGAGGAGGUGAGAGUUUAGGUGCUGGUGGUGGGGAAGAGUUGACAUGUGGUGGUGGUGACUGUACUGGAGGUGGAGGAGGUAGAAAUUUAGGUGUUGGGGGUGGGGGAGAGUGAACUGGUCGCAGUGGGGAGAAAAUUGGUGGAGGAGAGAGUUUAGGUGCUGGUGAGGGUGAGAGUGAGGGUGACUGAAUAGGUUGUGAGUCAACUUGACGUGGGGAGAGUGAACUGGUGGCGGUGGGGAGAAAUUCAUGCUCUUGCUCAAAGACAGCUUGACAUACCUUUUCUGAUCUCUGUUGUGCCUCUUUGCCCAAACAAUUAGUUUUGUCGUCCAACUGAACAUCAGCAACUUCAUUAGGUUGGCACAUUUGGUCUUUUGCCACGAAAUAGUUGGAAGAGUGAAAAUUUUCAAAUUUGGCAAGCUGCAAAUGCUAUCAGAGACCUUUCCUCUAAACAUAUUGUUUGCCAUGUCUACAACUUCCAUAUUCUGCAGGUACGCCAAGUCUACUGGCAGAUCUCCAAUCAAUUUGUUAUUGCUGCUAUGAAUUACAUUUGUGCCAUUCAACAGAGUAAUUAAUUCAGGGAAGCAACCAGAAAGAGCAUUGUUCGAGAAAGGGACCUAGUCCAAUGUGUUCGGCUUGGAAUGCAUCCGAUGAACUUCUUGUUAGAGAUCACUAUUACUGAAGCCGGUGAAUUGCC
rnacentral:sRNA from 1 species